rnacentral:rRNA from 1 species
UACGAAGGGGGCUAGCGUUGCUCGGAAUCACUGGGCGUAAAGCGCACGUAGGCGGCUUUUUAAGUCAGGGGUGAAAUCCUGGAGCUCAACUCCAGAACUGCCUUUGAUACUGGGAAGCUUCGAGUUCGGGAGAGGUGAGUGGAACUGCGAGUGUAGAGGUGAAAUUCGUAGAUAUUCGCAAGAACACCAGUGGCGAAGGCGGCUCACUGGCCCGAUACUGACGCUGAGGCACGAAAGCGUGGGGAGCAAACAGG